CCUACGGAGAGUAUAUAACAAUGCAAGUACUGUUUGGAGGUAUCCAUCAGGAAAACAUACUCGAUGAAGUAGGAA
rnacentral:sRNA from 12 species